UUGAUUUACCGGCAUGCAUUUAUGUAUGAUCUUAUGUUCAUGGACUGCACUAUCUGAUUUAUUGCCGUAUUUUUGCCCUUCAAUAUCCUAGGCCCUUAUUAGCCCAAUCACGAGCACUAGGAGCUCAAGAACGCACUGGCCACCGUGGUCCCGCCCACCAACCCCAUGGAGCUCACCAACCAUGACCUCGAGCAGUUCCAAACCGUGCCUGCUUCAGUGGAUGAUGAGUAGUGAAGCUCAUGUUGAUUUUGUCUCUACCAGUUGCGGCUAGCUUCUGUGUGCCCUUCGUCUCCGGCAAGAAGAGUUCGGACCUGAAGUCUGCAUCAGACUUUGGCCUGCAAAGUUUGUACCAUGGUGAUUUGCUUUUGGUUUUAGUUAGUAUUUAAAGCUGUCAGCUAGGUUGUUUGGUAGCUAUGCACACUUGCUGUUGCAGGUAGAUUUAUGGUGCUCGGAUGUGCUAUAAUAUGGAUGCUCCAAAUGCCGGACCGACACCUGAUGGUAGGAUAGAUUGGUGCUCAGAUGUAACCAUGGUGAUUGGAUGUACUAUGAUGUUGAUGAUUGAGAUGCUGGAUAGACACCCGAUGGAUAGGAUAGCUUCAUGCUCGAAUGUAUUGUAAUAUUUUGUAUUUAGAUGCCAGAAAGACACCUGAUGGCUAGGAUAGCUUUUCGUGCUCAAAUGUGCUGUAAUAUUUAUGAUUCAAAUGCUAGAUAGAUAGUUAACAUGAUGAUGAUGUGUUUGCUACGCGAUAUGGUACCUUCGUAUUGAAUUCAUCUUAUACCAUGUAUAUAGUUUAAUUA